GGAGAAGUGGUUAAAUGGAUAAAUGCGAUAGCCUAGAAAGUUGUUUAGCUAAUGCUCAUGAGGGUUCGAAUCCCUCUUUCUCUA
rnacentral:tRNA from 1 species